AUUGAACGCUGGCGGCAGGCCUAACACAUGCAAGUCGAACGGUAACAGGAAACAGCUUGCUGUUUCGCUGACGAGUGGCGGACGGGUGAGUAAUGUCUGGGAAACUGCCUGAUGGAGGGGGAUAACUACUGGAAACGGUAGCUAAUACCGCAUAACGUCGCAAGACCAAAGAGGGGGACCCUCGGGCCUCUUGCCAUCGGAUGUGCCCAGAUGGGAUUAGCUUGUUGGUGGGGUAACGGCUCACCAAGGCGACGAUCCCUAGCUGGUCUGAGAGGAUGACCAGCCACACUGGAACUGAGACACGGUCCAGACUCCUACGGGAGGCAGCAGUGGGGAAUAUUGCACAAUGGGCGCAAGCCUGAUGCAGCCAUGCCGCGUGUAUGAAGAAGGCCUUCGGGUUGUAAAGUACUUUCAGCGGGGAGGAAGGGAGUAAAGUUAAUACCUUUGCUCAUUGACGUUACCCGCAGAAGAAGCACCGGCUAACUCCGUGCCAGCAGCCGCGGUAAUACGGAGGGUGCAAGCGUUAAUCGGAAUUACUGGGCGUAAAGCGCACGCAGGCGGUUUGUUAAGUCAGAUGUGAAAUCCCCGGGCUCAACCUGGGAACUGCAUCUGAUACUGGCAAGCUUGAGUCUCGUAGAGGGGGGUAGAAUUCCAGGUGUAGCGGUGAAAUGCGUAGAGAUCUGGAGGAAUACCGGUGGCGAAGGCGGCCCCCUGGACGAAGACUGACGCUCAGGUGCGAAAGCGUGGGGAGCAAACAGG
rnacentral:rRNA from 1 species